rnacentral:lncRNA from 1 species
UUUUUUUUUUUUUUUUUUUUUUUGGUGGGCAAGCUCCUAGCCUCACAUUAAAAGCGUAAUUUUCUCAUUAUUGCGUUUUCCAAAUUGGUGUCGUUUUCAAAAAAUUAGUACAUAAUUUUUAUUCUUUUGCCACUCCUAUUCCUUGUCCUUUUUAGAAAGAUAAUAUACACCAUUCAAAUUUCUUAAUGUGGAGGGUGAACUUUGAAAACUCUGUGUAAGUAUCACCAUUAGGUCAUUAUUGUUAAAAUGUUGAGUUGCCCAAAAAUGACAAAUAUUUGGGAUGGAGGGAUUGAUUAGUAAAGUAAACAUAGGAAAUACAAAGAAAGCAAGAAAGAAGUGCAAAGAAAAUUCAUAAUGGUAGCUUUCUACACCAAUCAGAUGUAUGUGUAUACUUUUAUAUAUAUAUAUAUAUAUAUAUAUAUAUGUAUGUAUUCUUUAUUACUCGUUAGACGUUAUAUUUUUCAUUCCAUAAAGUAAGUAUACAUUAGUAUUUUGGGAGUUCACAAACAUUGUCACAUUUUUAAUAUUAUACUUCUUUACCCCACAUAAUAAAGUGACACAUGUUCCUUUAUUUUACAUUAACGAUGGCCAUGAAUCAUGUAAGAAUAGUCUGUGGAUGAUAUCUUCUAACUAAUAUUAAAUUAAAAGGCACAUCACGCCCCAAUCCAUGGUGUAAAAGAGUUUUGGAUUCAAAUCCUCUUUCUCCAUUUUUACUUUUUAAAUCUCACACGUCCCUUGGUAAUUUUUUUUUUUAAAAGUUUUAUAGGGUAAAAAGGAUUUCCAAAAGGCAAUAGAAAUUUCCAAAAUUUCAGAUUAAAGUGAAGUAGUGUGUCCUGAAUGAUUCACAAAAAAGAUUUUCAUUGCUUAAUCCUUUUCCCCUUUGGAUUUCAAUCCGCAUAACCUGCUUUAUAUGCUACCACUUAAUCAACCCGCGCUUAAUGAUUCAAAUCCAAAAUUCACGCUUCUCAGCUAAACACAGUCCACGCUUUCUCGAAACUAUCUUAACCAUUCUAAGUCCAUUCCGGGCAAGCAUGCAGAUCUUCGUCAUAUCCCAAAGCAGCAGGACCAUUGUUUUCGAGGUGGAAAUUUCCGAUACCAUCCAAGUCGUCAAGGCCAAGCUUCAGCUGAAAGAUGGAAUCCCUCCUCAGCACCAGAGCCUCGUAUUGGCCGGCAAACAACUAGAUGAAGAUCGCACACUCGAGGAUUACGACAUCUAGGAGAACUCCACAUUAAUGGCAAGGCCGAGGUACACUGACCAGCGAUGUUUUUAAACUUGGACCGGUCAGCGAACCGGAGAGGUGGCCGGUUCGCGGUUCGACCGGUCCAACCGGCCGGUUCACAGGUUCACUGUUUUGUUUUUUUUGUUUUUACUAAGCAAGUUUCAUUACUUGACAGCUAAUGUACAAUUUAAUAUAAUUAUUGAUAACUUAAGUUUCUAAAAUGCAUUCACCAACAUAACUAAAUUUAAGUUGAAAUAAUAAUAAAUUUCCUAAAAGUUAUACAUAAAACAUGGAAUGAUAAACAUAAUUAAAAUAUCAUAAUUCACCACAAGUUUUCAUAAAUUCAUUAUAAACAUAAAUAGAUACAAUCCAAAUGUUCACCAAUUAUCACAAAUAAAAACACAAAAAAUAACUAAAAUAAAUAUUGAAAUUCUUUUACAAUCCUUAAAAAAAUCCAUAAAAGAGUUCAACUCAAGACAAACCAUUUGAAUGACAAACUUCCAUUAGUGGCAUGACAAGUAGCAACAACACCACCUUCACAAUUUCAUCAACUUAACUUGGAAAAGUUAAAAUUUUAUUAUAAAAAUAUAAAUUAAUUGCUCAAACUAAAAAAAACUAAAAAAAUUUGAAAAACAAAUAUACAGCUAAACACAUUAAAAAUUAAUUAUUACUAAACAUCACUAAUUAACAUGUUAUAUUAAAUUCAAUGAUCCUAUACAAUUAAUUAUUUUAAAUUCAAUGAUCAAUAGCUUCGAUUAUAUGCCAACUAACAUAUUUUUUACCAGCCUAAUGUUAUUAUUUGUAAGUCCUACCCAAUUCCUACAUGGAGGUGUGCUACUUUUGCAAAAAUUUCAUCCUUAAUUACUCAAAUAAAAAUAAAACAAAAAUUAGGGAAACAGAUGAAAAUUGGGGGGGAGGGAAAAAGAAGAAAAUGCAAAAAAAAAAUCAACUAAAGAUAAUAAUAUAGAAAAAAAAGCUUGAAAAGAGAAAAAUUAAACUUACCAAAAUGAUGGAAAACAAGAAAAGUUGAAAUUUCCAACUUGUUUACAAUCUGCCAAAGAUGAUAACCUGAUAAUAAUGGUGAAGACUUGAGAAAAUCUUGUUGUGGAUAUUUGGGUUUAAAAUGGUUAUGAAGAAAAAAUUGAAAAAAAAAAUCAAGAGAAGAACUAGAGAGCGCCGCCUAAUGAAGCCGAGAAAGUAAUUGAUGGAAAGAAAAUUUAGAAAAGUUCAUCUGCAUUGAUGCACUUUGCUUUUUCUGUACCUGAUAUUUUAAUAUAUUUUUAGUCAAAUAGAAUUGUCAACAAGCUUAACUAUGGUCUAGUGGUAAAAUUGUCAUAUGUAAAUGUGGAAGCUUAGGUUCGAAUCGGAGCUACACCAUUUUUGAUAUUUUGUUGAGGAAUUAAAAAAACCGUCGGUUUACGGUUCGAACGGUUCAUCCGGUUUUCAAUGGUUUUCAUGAACUUCCGGUUUUAGCACUAGAUCGGACCGUUGACAUGUCCGGUUCGUGGUCCAACCGGUUGAACCGACCGGUCCGGUCCGACUCUGAAAACAUUGCUGACAAGAGAAAAUUCCAUCAUAUGCAGCCAUAUGAUCCUCCCAAUAAACCUCACAAAAGCACCCUCCCCAAAUCUUUGUCGGAAAACAGUCCACAAAAGUACCCGCCCGUGUUUAUCAUAGUAAUCGUUUAUUUUUUUGGUUAAUUGUACUGCUUCUUGAUGCUAACUAUGACAGGUUUCUUGACGUUAUUAGAUGCCAUUUAUGUUUUUUUAGCAAUGAUCAGUUAAUUGGAAAUCUUUUAUCUUGUAUUAUUGACUGGAAUUUGAAUUCUUGCGGUUAGAUUUUAUGUUCUUUACUGAUUAGCGAUACAGAAUUAAGCUAAUACAGAAUUAAUUCAUCUUGUAUUUAUGAUUGGAAUUUCUUCAUAUCAAUAAAUAUAGUAUCCCUAGACAUUGCACCUUUUACAUGGCUUAAUUAUAUAAAUAGUUAUUGACGAAAAAAAAUUAUAUAAACUGUUUGGCUAAGUUGUGCACCACUCACUCAUUAAUAGGGGUUUCAAGUAUUAGUUUUUUAGAAAAGUACAAAUAACAUGGAAAAAUGUAUAAAAACAAGGACAUAAUAAUUGUGAUUGUGUGUAUCAACAUAACAAAUUAGGGAAAAAUGCACUUUUCAUCCUUAAAGUUUGGGUUGUUAACCAAUUUUAUUCUCAAAAUUUCACCCAAAACGCAUUUUAUCCUCAAAGUUAGUAAUUUUGGCCAAUUAAGGACAAUUGACGGGAAUUGGCAAAUUUAUCGUUAGAACCAACUGUAAACCCAACAAAAAAUGGGUAAAAUCGAAUGGAACCGUAUUUCACAGCAGACGCUAAAAUACAAAGGGAUCAGUCACCAAGGUCAUGGCCCAGAAAAGUCAGUAGCUCUCUUUCCUAUGUUAUUGAUCCCUCCUUCUUGGACUUGGGAUCGCGAAAAAUCUAGAUGGGGACAAAGGAAACCCAUAACCAGGAGAAGGAGGCACUUAAGGCCCCGGGCCUAGUAUCCCUGAUUGAGCCAUUGGAGAAAGUGAGAAAUUUGGAGUCAUUGGAGAAGGGUGCUGAAAACUAGGAGAAAGCAAUGGAUACGAUGAUCUAGGAGAAAACAAAUUUAAGAAACCAGUUGGUGAUGGCAAAAGAAACUGAGAAGUUGGGGAAGGCAAAAGUGGAUGUGGACCAUUUAUUCGAGGUGAAGGAAGAGAGGGUGGAGGACCAUUCAUCCUAGGAGAUGGAAAAGGAGGAGGACCGUUCAUCCUAGGAGAUGUAAGUGGUGGAGGCAUGUUCAUUCUUGGAGAUGGGAUAGGCGGCAUAUGCGGAUUAGGAAGUAAACCAGAAGCAGAUGGCUGAGCUUGAUUUGGACCAAGACCCUGAGGUAUUAACUAGGGAAAAGGUUGCCUUGGCCCUGAAUCUAUGAUUGAAUUUUGAAGGUAUCGCAUGUAAGCUGAUAUAGGAGACUCAGCUGUGUUUGGCCAAGCAUCACCAGGAAUGAAGGGUGGCAACAUAGUUGGUGAUGGUUGGCCAUACUGGGGGAGAGGAGGUCUUGUGAAGUUGUUGUUGUAUGGAACACUAGCUGGAGGCUGUGCGGGAGCUGGCACUGGUACAGGAGGUUGAAUCGUCAUAGGAGGUCGAUUUAUUGGUGUCAAGGGCGGUGGCUGAAUCUUCUGCAACCGCAUACUUGCAGGUUUGGGGGGAUUUUGGGGAGGCCUAGGAGCAGGUGGUUCUUGAUUAUUCGAAGGUGAACCAGCAAACUGUUGCACUAUGUUUCGAAAAUCAUUUUUAUUAAUAUUAUACACCUAAGGCUGAGGUUGCUGCUUGGCAGUUUUAGUAAAAUUGGGUCGGUACAUUGGACUCUUCUUUAUGUUCUUCCCUAUCUUAUUCACACCCAAAUGAUCCGUAUGCCGAUUCAUCUGCCUAUUGGUACUAUCCAUAUCAACACCUUGAACCGACCAACAAAUUCAGAAUGGUGCAAGCUCAAAUUUCUUUUCUUCUUCAGCUAGUGAAUCCAACAAUUACCAUCUUAAGCAUCAAAACACCAACUGAUGAUCAAACCAAAGUAAAACUCAAAACUUUUGUGUAUUGAUUUUGAUGAUGUUUUUGCAGGGAUGAAGAUUAAGACAGACACACCUCUUGCCAAGAAGGCACGAGAAAGAGUUAUGGAAUUUUGCUAAUGAAUCAUCCGUUGGAUUGCCCAAUUUGUGAUCAAGGUGGGGAAUGUGGCUCCAUUCGGUUUUACCCAUUUUUUUGUUGGGUUUAUAGUUGGUUCUAACGAUAAAUUUGCCAAUUCUCGUCAAUUGUCCUUAAUUGGCCGAAAUUACGUAAUUUUGAGGAUGAAAUGUGUUUUGGAUAAAACUUUGAGGAUGAAAUUGGUCAACAGCCCAAACUUUAAGGAUGAAAAGUGCAUUUUUCCCUAACAAAUUAAGUAAUUUGUGUGUGCUAACUAGUGCUCAUUGGAUACUGAUCACUAGAAAAACCCUUACAUAAAUCAAGAAAGAUUAAUCUUACCUAAUUGCAAAACUAAGGUUACUCAUUGACAAAGUAUAAAUUGUUUUUCUUUUUGGUAAUUUUGUAAAUUGAUUUUUUAUUUGUUCAUGAAAUAAUGUCUUGACUAUAAGGAAAAAACAAAAUAUUGGGCUUAACUUAAUUUUAAUAAUAAUUAACAUCAAACCGUGAUUUUUUACAUUGAGGCCAUAAAAUCAUAGUAAUUCAUCAGACUUUCAGAGUUUUACAACACACUUUGUUGGGGAAAAAAUGGGAAAAAGAAUACACAACUGCAAACAUAAUCUAUUGUAUCUCCAGUUUAUCACGAGAGUCGGUGUCUCCUAGGCUACCGAUACCAAAAGGAUAAGCAUUAAGUAAUGAGGAUAAUGCAGAGUAUGCCAAUCUGGAAGAUGCUUCGUACACUAUUUCACUGGGAUGGAAAUCAUCCCAGAAAUAAUAUUCGUUUCUGUUGCUGCAGGGAAUUUGUCCAGGAAUGCAUUGUCCAGCACUAACUGUUGUAGACACAUUGCAGCAUGGUGCUUUAUCAAUUGUAAUUUCUGAGAUAGAUUUAGUGUAAGAAUGAAUUGAAAAAAGAAAAAAAAAACACAGUAUCAAAGAAAAAUGUGGAAGUAGACGUGUAGAAGAUAGAUGUACAAUGACGUUUUUUCUUUUUUUUCUUUUCUUUUCGUUUUUGUUUCUACAUAAACUGAAAUUUCCUAAGUGAACCUUAUGUAUCCAACUACACAUUCAAAUGGAAGCAUCAAUUUUUAGAAAAUGGCAAGUGGCAAGAUAGGAUAAUUUUGCUUUUAUAUUUACAUGUGAAAUGCUGAGUAGCUGAAGUGUUUCUAAGUCAAUCGUUCCAUUAAAACGUUAAUUUGCUUCAUUGGACUUCGAGUUUAUGCAAGUAUAUAUACUGAUGAAUUAUCAUUCCAUAUAGUAGCAACCAAUAUUUCGUGUUCAAAUGGUUAAAAGAUAAGAAAUCUAAUUGUUCAAAAUGUAUUAGACGGUUUAGAUCAUUUUAUUAGGAAAGGUAUGAAAAAUAAGAACCAAAAAAAAAAAAUUUUCAUAGAAGGGUACAACUUUUGGUAAAUAAGGGUAUGGGUAUUGUUCAUUGAUUAAAACAGUUAAUAAAUUUAUUGUUAAAUAACUAGAUCUUGUUUGAUAACCCAAUUCAGCACUUAAAUUUAAUAAUUUCAUAUUUUAACAUAUUCAGACUCGUUUGAUAAUAAAAAAUAAAACAUCUAAAUUAAUUAAGUGACACUGAAUUUUCUAAGCAAAAUUUGUUCGAAAAAUAAGUGAUAAGUUAUUCAUUUAUUACUUAAUAUGGUAUAUACUCAAAUAUAUUAGAUUUAGUGCUUAAUAAUUCAGUAACUUAAUGAAUUCAAAUUUUAGAUUUCAUAUUUGAAUUUUCAUAUUUCAGUUUUAUCAAACGCAUUCUAAAUCACCUUCAUAGAAUUGUGCACUCUAGUGUAUAGGGCAUCUACACAAAUAUUAUAUUAAGAGAUAAACUCUUUGGUUUAUGAGCCUCUUCAUUUUGAUAUUGCAUUAUCAUGAUUUUCAUAAACUUCAAAAGAAAACAACCCAAGAAUGUUAAAUGUGGUAACUAACCAAAUAAUUGCCAACUUGCAUCUUUUUCAAAGAAUGAAAUUAUUAUCCACACAUUUUACCUCAGUCUUUAUAACAAAAAUGUUGUAAAAUUAAGUUCAAUAAGCUUAUUUUGUAACCAAAACCUUGAUAUUCUUUUCGAUUGCAUGAACAUCAGGUUUGCCUUCAUCACCGUCCUAUAUUAUCUGUGCAGGUUGAGUCUAAAUAAACACUUUCGGUUUCCAUAAAGUAGAAGUUCCAACGUACCUGCAGGCAUAGUGCUCAAAGUGAUUGCUGUCACAUUUACAUAGAUAAAAUGUGCACUGCUUAACUCGGCAUUCAGUUCAUCGACCAGUGGCUUGAGCUCCUCAUUGAAUAACUGAACUUCACUAUUUAAAGAAUCCACACAUGUACCAUCUAUAGAUAACAAACCAGGCACACAACCAAGGAAACCUAGCCCAAAAAUAGCUAUUUUUCUUGCCCCCAAUCUGUACAAUUUCUAGCACCAAAAGGGAUACGAGUUAGGUUUUUUCUUUUUCUUUUUUAAAUGUAUAUUCAACGUGAACAUCAAAAUUUAAUGAUGGAAAAUGGAAAUUUGUUAAAAGAAAAUAAUUAUACGAACCCGUAGUUGCUGAGAAUAUUCUUUAAUCAACAUUCUAGCAAAUUGUCUUGGAGUACAUAGGCGGCUUGCAGCAUAACAUUCUGGCAGUAAGUAGCUGUCGAUGUAAUCGUUACUUCCAAUUGCAAAAGUAUACAAACAUUUGGCUAGGUAUUCUUUUGUUGCAGCUUCGUUCCCAAUUAAUCUCACAAGCUGCGAAGUUACUCUUCUAUGAUUUUGCAAUUGUUGGUUGAGGCUGACGAUAUCGCCCUAUUAGUAAAAAAGAAAGCAAUGUAGUGUGAGUUUUGGCUAGCUUGCCUCCCUCAAGAGGUCAGUAACAACAAAAAGAAAAGCAAAGCACCAAUACUGGAUUCUUGAGAUUUUGAAAUAAAUUUUUUAGCAUAAUUAGGUAAUAAUGAAUGUAUCCCAUUAGCUUUCUUUUAUUAAGCAAUUUUAAAGAAGUGGAAAUGUGUAUCAGACAAGAAAUUGGACAAUAAAAGAAAAAAUAGGUCAAGUUAUGAGUCAUGACUAUUUACAUUUCUAAUGAGGCCAUUGUGGCAUUGUGACCAGAAUCCAUGGUCCGCAGCUGAUAUGUUCACUACAUUAUUUGUUCCUUUUUUCAUUUUUCAUUUUCCCCCCAAGUAUUCUUACCACUUCAGUGUGCCAUAUGGUUCAUUUGUGUUAAAAUUGAAGACUAAUCCGCCAAUUGAAAAAUGGAGUUUGAUUUUUGUGCACUAACUUGGAAAAAGUUGAUAUAUUAAAUAAUAAUAGGUGGUCAAUAAAACUAUAGUAGUGACCAAACAAUACUGUUAAUGAUGCCAUGAAAAAAAUUGGCAAAAAGGGACUAGCAAUUAACCGGUAUUCUCAGAAUUUCAUUAGAUCUUUUGUUGAAAUCGAUGCAAUUGACAGGUGAAAUUUGUAUUUAAUAAACAUUUGGCUGUUUAAAGCAUUAAACUAUUUUGCAGAAACUAUAAGUUUCAUUUUGUUAUUGGGGUAAACCUCAAGUGAGAUAAAUGUAACCAACUCAAUUUACAAAAUGGUAAUUUGGGACUUUUAGAUAUAUAUAUAUAUAUAUAUUUUUGGUUGGUGCAUGCAACACAUGAUAGCGACUAAUGUCUGGGAGUAUUUGAUAUACGUUUUGUCAUUCAAGGGGUUUAACUAUAAUUUUGCAAAACAACAAGGUAGUUUUGUAAUUUGGUCAAAACCACAGGGAUGAUAAAUGUAAUUAACCCAAAAAACUAUAUAAAUAAUAUAAAUAAAAAUUUUCCAUUUGAAAUUCUCCUAGAUAAGACAAUUGUAUGAAUACUUAGAUCUAAAGUCAAAACGGGAAGAGGAAGGGAUGGAUUGGACAAUAUGGAAGGAAAGAAUAUAAGUGAGAGAUUUCAGUUCGAGGUCUCCGCUUACAUUAUAUUAAAAAAAAAAAGAAAUAAAAAGAAGAAGUCAGAACGGAAAGGUCCAAUGGAGCCCAAACAUUGGCCUUGAACUAUAGGCCCCCCAAACAAUUCUGUUCCAGUUCAAGGUUAAAUGAAAUUCACUUGAAUCAAGGAUCCAUGCCUCAUUAGUCUAUUUUAGUCCACUUCAAGUUUAAAUGUCUAUUUCAAAUUUUUGUAAAUCCUACUCUAAUUUGUUUAUAUUGUAUUGAAACUUAUGUACAUCUCAUUCUAACUUGUUUACACUCUAAAGGCCAGCUAAUUUGAUAUGGAACUUGUGACCAGAGAAGAAUGUGGAUAUAUGAUCAUGCCAGUAUCCCCUUAUUGGACCAUUCAUAGUACUGGAUUUUGGACAUAGUUCGAAAACCAUGGUGAAUAAGUGACUCGAAUCGUUGUCAAAAUAACUAAUCAGAAUUAAGUGCCCAUGCCAACAUGUCGUGGUUAAGCGAGGAUUAAGGGUCUAAGCUUGAGUCUACUUAACACUUCUAACUGGCAGUAUGCGAGAAUGAGCCUACACUUUGAUCUACACAUAGUGGACAAUCACUCUAGAUUUCAUUGCACACAAAAAUUAAAAGAAAAUGAAAAUCAAGAAGCCAAGUAGUCUCCUCACUAUAAUGUGAUUUGACCAUUUUUGGAUUGUCAUUUUUUCUCAAAAAAAUUUUACCUUUUCAUGAAUACAUUUUUCAAUCAUCAUAUAUAUCAAAUCGUUACAUUACAUUUUUUUUUAACAAAGACUUCAGAAAACAAUGAUCCAAACGGGAGCACAUUAUAAAUUAUUUUGGCCAGAAGGAAAUUUAUUUGCCAAUAUUCUAAUUCUCAAUUCAUAAAUAUUUAUAAAUGUUAAUGCAUCUUCUGAUUUAGUUAAAUUAUGUUUAACUCGAGAUCUACUGAGUGUAACACAUAAUAGAACCAUGUACAAUGUGUGUAUAGGUAAUUGAAGAAGACCACAAAUAAUAAACUUGGCAUUCAUGGACAUCCUCAUGUCAUAGUACUGUACAAGGUACUAUACAUUUUCGGUGUCAUAAAAAAAUUUUCGGUGGGCACAUUAAUGGCACCUGACUUAUUAGGCAGUGACAUGUUCUCGUUUUUGAACGUCAUAUAAAAGGUCUGGUACUACAAUGCGUCACAUUCCAACCCAGCAAAAACGCCUUUCAAGAAACAUGGACAAGAGCAUGGACAAGAAAAUGGCAGAAAAAGAAACAUGGACAAGAGCAAAAUUGAAAAAUAGAGACAAUUGGAGAGAGAGUUUAUGUUAGUCUUGAAAUUGAACAGAAUUGGAUUUCUUGAAUAUACUGCAAUUGCAAAACAAAGGGCCGUUAAAUCAGUUCUUAGCAUGUGGAUCGAUGAACAAAAUAUAAACUAUUUACUUUGCAUUGAGAUACAUAUACAGUAUCAUGUGAUUUUUUUUUUUUUUUUAAAAAAAAGGUUUAAAAUGGCUGAAGUGAUUUAGGCAAUUUUGUUUUCAUUUUGUAAGUGUAUUCUAACCAGAGUAAUGAGAGAAUAUAGUAACAUUGAUCUGAAAUUUCAAAACUUUUUAUUUUUCAAAACAAAAAUGUAUAAUUACCAGCUGGCGACCUGUCUGGUCAAGAAUUCCGGAUGCUGCUGAUGCAUAGUUAACGCCUUCAGUGAUGUCCUGGCCUUUGAUAUUUGCAAAUGGAGGCAUGUAGCCGGCAAAUCCAAGGAGCUCAGCUGCCAGAAACAGACGUAUACUUUCUUUCUAUCAUUAAGUAGCACAUAUCUAAGUGGCAAGCCCUAGCUUGUUUACGAAAUUCAUCUCUCUUUUUUUUCAGUCCUUAAACUUCAAGCAUCUCUUUACGAGAUAGAUUUCAUAUUUUAAGAGUAAUGUUCGAAGUUGAAGUUUAAGAACUAUAAAGUUGAUGCUUUCAUAUUUUAAGAGUUAAAAGUGUCCAAGAAUAAAAAUUAAAAACUCAGCUUGAAAUGCUUUUAGGAGUCCAAAGUGGAAUAUAGUCUUCAAUUCAUAAAAGAGUCCAUACGAAUCAAAAAACUUUUUGAAAGAAAUAAUACAAUUUAAAAAAAAAAAAAAAAAAAAGAAGUUUUGUGCUGGAUAUUGAAAAAGAAAGAGAUGGUUACCUAUGAAGUCCGCAUGGUUUCGCCCAUUGGUGAAGCGACCAGUUGGACCUUCCGGGAAAUCAAUGCCGUAAGGUGGAUAAUUUGCCUUGGCGGUAGUGUUCAGGUCAUUGUUGUUGCCAUUGUCAUCUUGUGAGUCACCGAAAAUGAAGUAACAAGGGACCUGUGGAUUGCCCAGAGCAAAUGGUUGCAAGAAGAAGAAGAUGACCAUUCCUACGACGGGCAAGAGAACCCAUUGCUUUGUUACAAAAGUCAUGAAUGCCGAUGAGGAAAGAAGCAAGUGAUAGGAAAAGCCAGACGCGGAGGUACCAAAGUCAUUGCCAAAAUAUAGAAGGCAGAGGAGCUAUUGCAGUUGGCUGUAGUGGUGGUCCACCUUGGGAGAGGGCGGAGCCACUCCAUCUCCAUGUGCAGCCUGUUAAACCUGACCCGGCAAAGGAGUCGGUGAUUGAUUCAACUAAUGAAUUGAUUGUUGAAUCUGUGGGUCGAUCACUAAAAAAAUAUUUAUAAGGGUAAAUUAUAUUAACUUCCCCUCUUGUUUUUACAAAAGUUAGGGAUCUCCACUCUUGAUCUCGGAACAAAGAGGACCUCCCCUCUUGUCUGCCAAAUAACAAGAAAAGCUUCCCUACCUAGCUAUGAUCAGGGGAGAAAUGUUAACUACUUUUGUCAUAAACUCAAUUCAAAGUCCCCAAACCACCAUUUCAAUGACACAAGUAAUUAUUUCCAAAAAAAAAUUAAGAAAAAUAGAGUGGAGUACCGAUCACACAUAAUUUUAUUUAUAGCCAUAAAAGUAAAUCCAUAAUACUUCUUUUCUAUAUUAGCUUUGCCACAAAAUAAGUUGAUGUCUUGAAUCAUUUAUGUAAUAUUCAUGUAUAUACAAGUUGAAAUUUUAAAUUGUUAAUAUAUUUGAUAAAUGUACAGUUUGGACACCUCAUUUUAUUAGAAUCCAAUUUAUUCUUGAAGUAGGUACACAUGCAAAUCUAUUAAUUUUGACUGGGAAGAAUAAAAAUAAUGAACAAAUUAAAUAUGGGAAAUCUUCAAAUUUUAAUGCAUAAAAAUCGCUUUAUUCUUCUUUUUUCCCCCCAUUUCUUAGAGAACUAAAGCUCUUUGUUUUGACAAUUUUCUUUUGUUUAAUAUAAGAUAAAGGGUAAAAAUGUAAAAUGAAAACUAUUGUAAAUGUUGACUUGAUGGAAGACAUUAUUGAUAAGAGAGGCUCAUGUUGUCUCAGAAUCACGAGAAGAGACCCCUGACUGUUGCAGGAAACUAGAGGGGAGGUCAGUGUAAUUCACCGUCUUUGCAAAUACAUGUGACAUAAUUAUUAGUUAUCUUGAGGUGCGUAGAAUUUAUAAAUAAAGUACUUCAUCAAUAUUAAUUAGUACAUCUAAAAAGAUAUAUUUUGAAUAUAUAAACUUAAUAAAUGAGUCAAUUUCUUUAUAUCAUACUUUAAAAAUAUAAAGCAUGCAUUCAAAGAUAAACAAAAAAUUAGCUUAUUUAUUAAAAGAAUAGGCUUUUAAGGAAAUAGAAUUAAGUUUUUGUCAAUACUUUGCCAAAAAAAUUCAAUUAAUUUUCAACCGUUGUUUACGUAAUAAUAACACUUUCAUAUUGAAAGUUGAAUUAAUUAUGCAAUAAUAAAGUAAACAAAUACAUUUGAAGGGACAUUUGGUCAACAAGUGAAAGUUUAUUUCCAAUAAUAAAGUCUUUUGCACGUCAAUGAAGACAUUCAUAUUUCCCCUUGAGAAAAAAUUGAACUUUAAACAAAAUUAUUUUGAGAUUCAAGGUCCAGACAUUGGUAAAAACAUACAUUUUGAUCCAAAAACAAAGACCUAUGUUAUUCAUCGCAGGGGAGGUUAGGUCAGUCCAAAUAAGGCUUGACCGAUUACAUAUUGUCAAAUUAAUAAGAUAAUUGUACACAGAUAUACAUCGGUCCAAUCUCAUUCCGAAUCAAUACUAUGAAGUGGACUCACAUUGGGUCUUAAUAUAUACAUGUGUGUGUGUGUGUGUGUGAGAGAGAGACCUUGAAGCAGGUUGGGCUUGGGCCACCAAGAUUUUAUUACCGGUUCGAUUUUAAUAUAUAGUAUCAGGACGUAGAGAUUAUGAAUUCAAAUUUCCUUUUCGCCUACUCUUUGUUUUCUAAAUCUCACCUCUUUUAAUUUUUUUUUUUAAAGUAGGUUAUAUAGUUGUAAGAGUAUAUAGGGUUAGAACAAUCACAGGGGCAAACUAGUAUACCAUGGUAUAAUCCCACCCCUUAUUUAUCUUGGGAAAACUGUUACCACCUCCAAUGUAAGAUUAUUUUAUCUUACGAAUGAGGGAUUAAUUUGGUAAAAUGAAAAGUCUAAUUGCAUAAAACUAACUAAAUAUGGGAUAACAUAAUAUUAAUAAUUUAAUCCUAUGUCAUCUCAUGCAACAAACUAGCGAAGUCUUUUAGACUAAUAAAGGCACGGUUUGAAUCCGAACGUAUUAUACUGACUGUCAAUUUAUUGUGGCAAAUCUGGAAAUCUAGAAAUGAGAAACAGUUCAAUGGUCAGGAAAGGAAUCCGUUAGUAGCAGUGAGUAAGGCAGUGGGGGAAUGGAAGGAGUUUCAGGAUGCUCAAGCAGAGGAAUUGGAGAGUCAGGGAAGUGGUAAGCAUGAAGCUGAGGGAUCAAGGGGGUGGAGGCUUCCUCAGGAAGGUUGGGUCAAGAUAAACACAGAUGCUGCAUUACAAAAGAAGGAAGGUCUGGCGGGAUGGGGAAUGGUUGCAAGGGAUUGGCAAGGGAAAGUUCUGAAAGCUUGGGCAAUACCAAACCGUAGCUGUUCUAAUCCAAAACUGGAGGAGUCAUUGGCUUUAAGAGCUGCCAUGUUGCUGGCAAAACAGCAGGGUUGGAAGAAGGUGAUGUUUGAAUCGGACUGCCUACAGGUGGUGGAGGAAAUUAACAAGGAGCAGUCGUAUGAGAUAGGCUCAGUAGUAUUAGAUGAUAUCAGGGAACUUAGGAAAAAUUUUUACGAAUGUUGUUUUACCUUUACUCGAAGAGUAAACAACUUUGUUAGCCAUAGACUUGCCAAAUUGGCAAUUAGCUUAACAAUACAAACUGAAUGGAAGGACAUCUUCCCAGACUGGCUGCCUGCACUGGUGCAAGCAGAUAUUGAGGGCAGUUGCCCAUCUUUCAUGUAAAGUUUAUGUUCAGUAAUAGAAUGUUACCGACCUUUUGACAAAAAAAAAAAAGAAUCCUCACUCAAUCAAACAUGUGAUUACAUAAAGGUCUUUUAGAACUAUAAGAACACUUAAUAAACUUUGAACGAGGAUUCUGCACAGACAUUGGGCUUUUACACAAUUCUAAUAGUAAUUAUAAAUGGUCUGAGAUUAAUGAUAACAUAUUGUUUCCAUUGAGGAGAUAAUGUCAUACUAGCACAUUCGGACUCUCCAGUUUUAUUACAUCGAGUUUGACUUGUUGGAAACUUGGAAUAUAGAAAUAUCAUGGGACACAUAGAUACAGUCUAUUGUAUCUUCACUUUAUCAUGACAGGUUUUGCCUGUAGGCCGCCAAUGGCAAGAGGAUCAGCAUCAAGUAAUGAGGAUAACGCAGAAUAUGCUAAUCUUGAAUAUGCUUCAUUGACUACUUCACUGGGAUGGAAAUCAUCCCAAAAAUAAUAUUGGUUCCUGUUGCUGCAGGGAAUUUGUCCAGGAAUACACUGUCCACGAGCAACUGUUGCAGACACGUUGCAGCAUGGUGCAUUGCCAAUUGUAAUUUCUGAAAUAGAUUAAGUGUAAGAUUGAAUUAAAAAGAGAGAACAGAACCGGCAAAAAAAAAAAAAACAGCGGAAUGUAAGACAGCAGGAAAGAUACAAUGACUUCAUUUGUUGAAAAAAAAAAAAAAGAAAACAAGAAACAUAAACUAACUAAGAUCUCCUCAACAAUAAUUUUUUGAAUGCAGUAUUUAUUAUUUAUUCAGGUUGAAUCUAUUUUGUGAAUCAAACAGAAUGUUCCAGUAAAAUAGGAGCUCAACGUACCUGCCGGGGUGGAUAAAUUGUUCAAAUUGAUUGCUCUCACAUCUACAUAAAGAAAUUGUGCAUCGCUUAACUCGGUAUUCAGUUCUUCAACCAGUGGCUUGAGCUUGUCAUUGAAUAACAGAACUUCAUCGUUAAUAGAAUCCACACAGUUACCAUCUGCAGAUAACUCAGCAGGUAUGCAGCCAAGCAAACCAAGCCCAAAAACAGCUAUUUUUCUUGCCCCCAAUCUGUACAAAGUCUAGCACCAAAAGGGUUUCAAGUUAAUUUUCUUUUUCUUUUUUUUUUUUUUAAAUUUAUAUACCUGGUGAACACGAAAAUAAUGAACGAAGACUGAAUUUUGUUAAAGAAAAAUAAACAUAAUAAUAACUAAACCAACCCGUAGUUGCUGAGAAUAAUGCCUAAUUAACAAGCUGGCAAAUUCUGUUGGAGUAUAUAGGUGGCUUGUAGGAUAAUAUUCUGGCAACAAGUAGUUGUUGAUGUAGUCAUUAUUCCCCAAUGCAGCAGUGUACAGACAUUUGGCCAGAUAUUCUUUUGUUGCAGAUCUGUUUCCAAUCAACCGCACGAUGCGCGAAAUUACUCUCUCGUGAUUGUGCAAUUGUUCGUUGAAGCUGAAGAGAUCGCCCUAUUAGCAAAUAAAAAAGCAUCAUGCAGAGCGGCUUUUGGUCAUGUUACCUCCUUCAUGUGAAAAUUAACAAUAAAAUAAAGAGCAAAGCACCUAUACUCUUUUUUCCCGCAUUAUAUUUAGAUUUUUUCUUUAAAAGUGGGAUUCUUAUGCUUUAUCUUGCACUGACACCUAAGGUGUUGAUCGCUCAAAAACCAUUGCAUCUACUUUUUGCCUUGCACAUACAUUAGGUUGUCAUAAAAUUCUUAUCCUUUUUCCCUUCUCAAUUACUCCUUUUUGUUAAAAUUUAUGCCUCUGAGCUCCCUUUCUUUGUAUUUUCUAAGAAAUUUUAUUCAAGCUGUAGGACUUAUCAUCUAUAAUUAGGCAACGAGAAUAUCUUUGGGUUAGCUUCCUUUUAUUGAGCAAUUUCAAAGAGCUGAAUGUGUUUAUCAAACAAGAAAUCGGACACUAAUAGAAACAAGAGAUCAAGCUAUGACAAUCUAAUAAAACCUUAUGCAUAAAUUGCCAUCUAUAGCGUGGGUUGAGCAGCAAAUUACUUCCUAUAGACGAUCAACCAGACGAGUGGCCCAGAUUUUUGGUACAGGAGAAGUGUGAAAGACAUUUAUGCCCUCAAUACAUAAUACUUUGGUAGUUCUAUUAUUUUUAAGAGUGGUGUUAUUAUAUUCUACUAGUAAAGAACAUUGUACACUGCUCUCUAGAAAAUGGUGAUACAAUUGUAGAUAUAAAAAAUGAAAUAAUUUCAGAAACCUCCCAUGAGUUUUCUGACACUUUCACUGACCUCUUUUGAAAUUUCAAAAAUUACACUAUCCUCCUUUGAACUUAAGGUUUUGGUAACAAAAUCAGUCCAACUCAGAAAAAAGCACUAUUGAAAAAGUAUUUUGAGGAGUGAGAUGAUAAUUUUCUUUCAUAUAUGCCCUUUUCUAAUUGUCUUCAAGUUGUAUUAGUAAAGCAAAAAAUAAUUAAUAAAAAUCAAGGAAUAUAUGUAAAAUUUGAAAAGAUGCAGCAACUAUAACCUGAAGCAACAAUGGUUUUUGCACAUGCUAGUGCAAAUUGUAAUGGCCAUAUUUUUUGUCAUUUGCAAGUUGCAACUAUAUAUAAAAGACACAACUAACUCUAUAAUGCCAUUAAAUUAUUGGUAUAAGCAUCUAAAUUUGGGCAAAAAAAUUAAUCUUUUUAUUGUAGUUGACGAGGUAAAAGUAAAUAUAUUGAUGCAGAAAACAUACAAGUCUUAGUCAACAAAUCAACAAUAAACAGUAUAAAUAGUUUUGUUUAACCACAAGAUUCAACAAAAUAAGUUAGUCAAAAAAAUUUUCUAUUUCUCUUGCUCAUAAGGUCUAUUUGUGCAGAUUAUAUAAGGUUGUCUAUUCCAAUUAUUGUCAAGUGAUAUCAAUCACAAAAAAAGUGCCAUCUUAAGAUAGCAAUUGAUGCAAUUUUUUGAUUGUAAUUAUGGUUGCUAAUUUGAGAUGAAAUAAUCAUAUUUUGGUUUAAUUAGUUAAUCUUAUUUAUUUAGUGCCCUAAUCUUUUUUUUUGUCAUAUAUCCAUUUGUAAUAAUGCAUAACAUCUUAGGGCAAAGUAGUACUUUCACUAUAUUUUAUAUAAGUAAUUAAUGGGUCCAAAUUUUUGGCAAGAGAGGUUAGUAUAAUUUUUAAAAUCUUAAGGGAGGUCAGUGAAAGUGUUAGAAACCUCAAGAGAGGUUUCUGAAAUUAUCCCAUAAAAAAUUACAUAAAUUAUUUUUACUAAAAAAAUUUAGUUGUGAUAAAUUAUACUAUUUAAUUUUUUUAGAAGAGAAUACCAAUAUAUAUUUGAAUAUCAAAAGGAAUUAUGAAUAAUGAGAAAGAAACAAAAAUUGAAUGUCAAAUAAUUUUUAUAAAUAUUUAAUUUCCAUUUGUUGUGAUAAGGAACUAUCACUAAAAAUACAAUACUUUUUUGUUGUGUAUAUACUUAACCGGUAUAUAAUAUCAUGUUAUGCAUGCACACAUAUAGUUACAUAUACACACACACACAUACAUACAUACAUAUGUCGGUACGUGGGCCAUGUACCCUUUUGCCAAUCUUGAAUUCUCGGUGCCAAAUUUGCAUAUAUAUGUAUGCAUGCAUGCAUGUAUAUAUGUGUGUAUAUGUAUAUCUAUAUAUGUGUAUGUAUGUGUUGCAUUUUUUGAAAGUAAAUUAAAUAUAUACUUUUUUUGAGUCAGAAAACAUUCAUUUUAGUAAUAAUUCCUAUAACAUUAAAUAAAAAUUAUUAUUCAUGAGAAAAUUUUCAAUUUCGUUUUUCCUUGUUUGUCCUCAUUAGUAAAUUCCUUUUGAUGUUUAGACAAUUUUUGAUACAUUCUUAUGUAAAAUAUUUCAAUAUCAUAAACUAUCAUAAGAAACUAUAUGUCGUUUAGUAAACUAAUUUAAGUGAUCUCUACAAUUACAUCUCCAAUUAUCACCAUUUUUUGGACAUCAAAUUAUUUUGUUAAUAGUUUAAUAAAAACAUUUUUUAAGGACAAAAUUGUCGAAGUAUUAUACAUCACAAUGCAUGACUAUCUUGUCAUACCUCUAUAUAUAGAAAUUUAACCCACAUGUUUGUUCGUUUGUCUAUAAAUAGCAAUUUAUCUGUUUUGGCAUUAUAGGUAGAGGGUUCAAACUUCAAAAAAAAAAAAAUGGAAAAACCAGUUGACGCAAUUUAGAUUGAAUUUCGGAUCUAGGUAAAAUCGAAAUAUAUCCAUUUAUAAUAUUUGAUAAAAUAGUUUGGGAAUGGAUAUUAAAAAUAUAUUUUCAAAUUACCAAUUACUAGCUGAAUUUUCAAUAUAUAUAUAUGUGUGUGUGUGUGUUAUAUAUGUACAUAUUACUAAAUAUUCAUUAGAAAUUAGUUAACUAUUGAUUACUCUAGUGCAGUAUUUACUAAUUUACUACUAACGAACUUAGUGAUUUCCCACUAAAAUUGGUCAAUAGCAGAGACAGGAGCAUGCAGAUUCUCUCUACCGGCUGGUUCUUUUUGCAUUGUCUCUAGAACCGAUGGCCUAAAGCUGGCAAGUUACUUUGUUUUCUUUCUUUUUCUUUUUAUUUUCAUUUUCCUUUUUCUUUCCUUAAGUAAUUUUACCACUUUAGCAUGCCAUGCGGUUUAACUGUGAGGAAAUUAUUUCUAAAGUGGAAAUUAUGUCAACAAUGACCCAACGUAUAUGAAAAGAUUUCAUUUGAAAAUUUCCUAAAAUUGACAUUCUAUAGAUACCUGUGUCUAAAUUCAAUACACAGACAGCAUUAGGAUCGGUAUUUGGUGGACCAACCAAAGAAGAAUGUGCAUAAGAUUAUGACAAUAUCCUCCAAUUCGAUCCGUAAACAGCCUAGAUACUGGACAUAGCUCGAAACAUGACAAAUAACUAUCCUGCUCUUCGUCAAAAUUGACUAAUGAAAAUAAUUCUGUAUGCCUAAAAUUCAGGAUCUACGCAGUCGCACCUACAAUAGCAGAAUACAUUUAAUUGUCGAAAUCGUGGCACAUUGGUUCAGUCCAGUUUGAUCUGAACAAUUCAUUUCAAAACAUUUUAAUUUGAAAUAAAUGGCAAGGUCAUAUGCAUUAUCUGAUUUGAACUACUAAUUGUACUGUGCAUCUACAGGUUCCCUCAUCCAAAAAGUCAGGAUAGUGUCAAAGCUUGGCCCUAUCCCUUUGCAUUCGAAGCGGCAGGAAUGCGCCUAGACUUCGAUCUAUGCUCAGUGGACAAUCAUUCUUGUUUUCCUUUUUCUCUUCUUUUAUUUAAAAUCAUGUAAAACGUGUAUUUAGAUACUUGAAGAACACCACAAAAAAUGAAUGGCCAAUAUUGAUCUAUUAGUACCGUACUGUAUUUUAGGAUCCCCCCUCAUUGUUUACCUCUCAAGAAAAGUUUGAUGGAGUGUCAUCAUCAUUUUGCAUAUUGAACUUUAUCAUGUUAUUCCUUCCCAAAAAAAAAAAAAAAAAAAAAAACUUUAUCUUGUUAUUGUAGUGCUACAAAGUGCAGACUUCAUUACAAGACAGCAAUCUUUUCUCACUUUUUGGAUGUAACACAAAAGGUUUGGCACACAACAUUACAUUUCAGAUUUUUUUUUUUUUUUAUGUAGCAUGGACAGGGACAAAUCUGGAAAAUUGGGGUCAAUUAAUGAUUUUAUGAGGAUGUUGAUAUUUGACAAGAGUUGGAUUUCCAAAAUUAACUGCAAUUACAAGACAAUGGACUACUAAACCAAUUCUUAGCAUGUGGAUGUACAAAUCUAACUAUUUAGUUUGCAUUAGCAAAAGUAGAUGCAUGCACCAUCAUGUGAUUAAAACAGAAGAAAAAAACAAAAGCUUUAAGAAUGUCGAAGUUAUUUCGGCAUUUUUCUUUUCUUUUGCAACCUUUGUUGUGGGAGUAUGUCAUCGGUAUCAACUUCUAAGCACCUAUUUUUUGAGAAAAUAAGCUGUCUGCUUACCAGGUGACGACCUGUCUGAUCAAGAAUUCCAGAUGCUCCUGAAGCAUAAUUAAUGCCUUUAGUGAUAUCCCGGCCUUCUGUAUUUGCAAAUGGAGGUAUGUAGCUGUCAAAUCCAAGGAGCUCACCUGCCACAAAGAGACGUACACUUUCUAAUUCAUACCACGAAUUAUUGGACCUGGAUCCUGUGCAACCGCAAGGGCAAUUGACAAAUUUGACGCUCCUUCAUUUAUUUAGUCAUAUUUAGAAAAUUUAACUUUUAAAAAUAAUAGUUUAAUUGUGAUUUUUGUGUUUCUUUUUUCUAAUUUUAUUCCAAUAAAUUUGAAAUUUAAAUUUAAAUAAUAACAUAAAUAUGAUUAAAAAAAGAAUUAUAUUAAAAAAGACACUAAAAUAUAUUUUGAUUUUUUUAUAUACGACAAUUAUUUUAGAACAUUACAGAAUGAAAGUACGACACUUUCAAUAUCAUGAUAUGAAGGGAAUAGUUUAGAUCAGUCCAACUAAAUUUGAAUUGAUCUCAACGGUUAACUUAAAAUUUAUUGAGUUGUUAUCGGCCGUCGAAUGGCCCAUACGGUUGUACGUAUAACUGCAACGGGUCCAAAUCCCAAACUGUUGAUGUUGAUGUAUAACAUACAGGGCUGAGGGCACCAAUGAUUGUCGUUGAGAACAGUUCUGAAUUGAAUUAUGUAAUAUUUUUUUGAAUAAAAUAUAAGUCUACAUAAAUUAUUUGUAAAAUUUAAUAAUAGAGACAUAAUUAUUACAUAUGGAAUUUACAUAAAUAGUAACAAAAUAUCACAUCCAUAUUAUAAAGAUGUAUAAAAAAAUUUACAUAAAAUUAUAAAAUAUUUAAAAAAUAUUACACUGUUUCCCGCUCUCAUAACAUACGAGAUGGCAUGCACUAACUAGCAGCUUGCCGCCUAUGGGAAAAUGUCUAUAAGAAAAAAAGUCUUUCUGAAAGACAAUAUAUAAACAAAAAAAUUCUAUAAUAUAUAGAAACAGGGGUUAAUUUCACUUUGUCCCCCCAAACUUUGGACGAUUACCCACUUCAGUCCCUAAACUUUAAAAUGGGAUACUUAAGUCCCUAAAACUUAUAAAUUGGGACACUUAAGUCCCUAAACUUAUAAAAUGAGUCACUUAAAUCCCUAAACUUAUAAAAUGGGACAAUUCGACCACCAACGGCAUUCAGGAUUCUGUCAACAAUUUUCCUUAAUUGGGAAGUAUUUAUAAGUUUAGGAACUUAAGUGUCCCAUUUUGAAGUUUAGGGACUGAAGUGGGUAAUCGUCCAAAGCUUGGGGGGACAAAGUGGAAUUAACCCUAGAAACAGUGACCAAGUCAAGAAUUUAUGAUAACAGCAGUGACUCGUGAAUAUUGAAUUAAUUCUUUACGAGUCUUAAAAAUAAUAGAAAUUAAAGAAGUCCGGAAAGCAAAAAUCGGGGGAUUUUUAGGGCGAGGGGGGUGAUUCUGAUAUAUGUCAUUUUAGUCAAAAUAGCAUGGGCACAAGAGAAGGUCAUUUUACAAAAACUUCAAAACUUAACAGAGAGAGAGUUAAAAGAAUAUUUUAAAACUUAGGGGGUGCAGCUCUUGGUCGCCUGCUGCCUCAGCCUCUAAUAAUGGAUAGGAUAGGAAAGAGAUAGUCACCAAUGAAGUCUGCAGGAUUUCGGCCAUUGGUGAAGCGACCGGUUGGACCUUCUGGGAAAUCAAUGCCGUAAGGUGGAUAAUUUGCCCUGGCAGUUGUGUUCAGGUGAUUAUUGUUGCCAUUGUCAUCUUGCGAGUCUCCAAAAAUGAAGUAGCAAGGGACCUGUUGUUCGCCUAGGGCAAAUGGUUUCAAGAAACAGACAACCACUACAAUGAUGGAUAGGAGAAACCAUCGCCUGGCUGCAAAAGCCAUGAAUGCAGAUUGACAAGAAGAAAAAGGCAAUGGUAGGUUUAGCAAGUCAGAGGAAAAGGCAAAUAUGGAGGCACCAAGGAUGCAGAGCGGGAGCCAAUAUUUUAUACAAGGCGGAAGCACUACUGUAAUUGGUCGAUUCUGUGGAGUGAAUUGGAACUCGUCAUUUCUUAGACAACUGAAUUUUGUACGUGACUGUAAAAAGUAUUUUUCUGGUCAUUUUGUUUGUGCAUGAAGAAAACUUUUUCAGUGUACAUACUACAUACUAUCAUUAAAUACACAAUUUGUAAUAAUAGUGUGUUUGGACAGCCAAUUAUUUGGCCAAAUAUAUUUGCUGACAUCACCAUCACAAUUUUCAAUACACUUUUUUAUCUUCUCAAUUACCUUUUUAUCUCACAUACAUCACAUCACAAAAAGUGCUAUAGUAAAAAUAUUUCAAAUAACUUACAAUCCAAACACACUCGUGUUUCAGAGAUAAUCAUGACGUUGAACCAAAUGAUAGUACUAUUUUUGUGUACUGUACAACUAUAGAUCAUAAUUGAAGAUCGGUUAUUUAUUUUUACAUAUCAAAAGUUUGAAGAUUUUUCAUUUAUUUUCAAAUAACACUUAAUUUAUACCGACUUUAAGAAAUUUUCAAUAGAAAAAAAAAAAAAAAAAAGAGUUGGGGCCUGGGGUAGCAAUUACCCGCCCUCGAUUGGACAUGGUUCCGCCCUGAUUCUGCCAGCCAUUAUUUAUGCACUACAGCCCACAAUAAUGCAGAAAGUAGUUACCAGCUGGAUUUUUAAUAUUUAAUUGGCCUAUGCUUUAACUUUAUACUGGAGCCAGUUGAAUUUUUAUUGUCCUUUGGUAAAUCCGACAAGGAUUACUGAAAAGUGGGGGGUGACGGUUUUGCACAUCACAUCAAUGUCCAAUGCAGUACUGCAUGCGAAAGCACUGCAAUGGAAUGGCCUUCUCAUCUUAAACAAGUUUCCGGAGUUGGAUGCAGCAGGAAUUCAAAAUUCCAUAUGUAGUAAAAAUUUUUUUUAAAAAGGUGUUAGAGCACCUCUUUAAUUUAGUUAGAUUUGCAUACCUGUUAAUUGCUUAUAUAAUCUCUUUAAACUUCCCUUCCUUGCAAAAUAUAGAAUAGAUUAGAUUAUAAAUAUAUUAUAAAAAAAUAUGUACACCGUCCUCUCUAAACUCUCUUCUCUAUAAAAUAGGAUAUAUUAUAUUAUAAAAAUAUUAUCAAAAAUAUGUACACUGUCCUCUUUAGACUCUUCUUUUUGUAGAAUAUGAUAGAUUAUGUUAUAAAAUGGUUGUAGCAAAAAAAUAUAAAAAAAGUACAACGCCUUCAAUAUUACUCUGUAACCUACUUUAUUUGGAUUGAGUGUUUUUUUUUUUGACAAAUUAUUUUUGUUUGUGAAAUUUAUGGUAACAAACUUCAAAAAUAACUCUAAAAACACAUAAUUUCAAAUACAACUUAUAAAAAUAAAAAUUAAACUAAAAAAAUUAAAUAACAAAUGUAACAAAUCCUAUCAUCCAUUUUUCUUCUAUUCACUACCCAUGACAUACCAUUACCUACCAUUAUCCAUGUCCUCGUCCCUCCUCCUCUGCCUCUUCCUUCUCCUCCAUUUUUCUUUUCCUCCCCUUCCCUCUCCUCUCCCUUCCACUGCUGGCCCCAGCCAAGCCUUUCCCCCCUCUUAUUUCCCUUUUGGUUGCAACCAAAAUGUCACGAGAGAUCCGGUUGCCACCAAAAGAGGAAGAAAUAGGAAGGGGGGUCAACGAGAGGUGAGAGAAGGAAAGAAAGAGGAAGGGCGAGGAUGGAAGAGAGAGGAGGGGAAGGGGAUAGUGACAACAGUAGAGGAAGGAGUAGGGGAGGGUAAUGGACUAUUUUAAAACAAAUUUAUAAAAAAUAUUUAAAAAUUUUUAAAUUCUAAAAAUACCUCAAAACACAGAAUUCAAAUGAAUAAUCUACAACAAAUUUUUUUUACAUAUAUUGCUACAGUAAAUUUUUUGAAAAAGAACCCUAAAAAUAUCUAAUUCAUAUGGAGUUUACAAAGAUAUUUUAAGUUUCUAGUUGGAUAUGUUUUAUGCUCGAAUGCUCAAUAUAAUUCCAAUUAUAAAUUAUUGGCACCACACCACAAUUCAGAACAUAUUACAUAUGGAAAGGAAUAAGCAUUCCAUGAUGAAGAGGUAGAUGCCUUGUUUUUUUAAGCAAUGUAGUGGUUGAUGCGUGAUAGCCGUUUACCAGUUAUUAAUAAGACUCAUAGUCAAUUUUGUCUUAAGUUACGGAACAUAUUAUUAAUAUUAAUAGUUAUAAGGGUAAAGUGUGUGUGGGUCAUCAAACAUUUCAAAAUUUUCAUUUCGCCUACAAAAUUAUUUUUCGUAUCGAAUAUCCCACCGAAUUUCUAAAUGUUCUUCAUCUUGAUCACUCCGUUAACUCUAACUGCUAAAAUGGAUAGAAGUUAGUCCAUUUGACAGGCCGGCCUGCUUUAAAUAGAUAAUUUGGACAUUUUGCCUGAAACCAUCCGACUCUAGCUCGUUUGGGAGGACGGAUUUGGUGAGAAAAGAAAGAACUAAGAAAGAAAGUAAAAUCAUUUAGCAUUUGGGAGUUUUAAUAGCAAGGAAAUAGAAAGAAAAGGAAGGAUCUCACGUCCUUUCAAGUUACAAAAACCCUCAGCCCAAAAUUAGGCGAAAAGCAUGAGAAAGGAAAGUGAAUUAAAUUUGAUGACCUAUUGACAAAAAAAAAAAAAGGAAAGUGAAUUAAAUAAAUAUUUUAAUAUAUCGAUUUUGCCUUUAUAAAGAUUAUAACAUAACAUUUUCCUAUAUUAGGUGAAUUUCAAGUUUCAAGGGUACUAAUGUAAAAUAGAAUCUUUUCCUUUUACUUCUCUUCACUCCCAAAUAAAAGAUACUCACUUCAUUAUCUUUCUUUGCAAAAACUCCCAAAUAACAUGAAGAAAUAUUACAAUCUCUUCUUCUCUUUUCUAACUUAAGCUUUCGCUUCUUUUCUAUUCUCUCCCAAACUAGCCAUUAAACUUUCAGCUCCCCAUUCGAUGACCCAUUUCUUGUUUAUCUAUUUUCUCUUGGAAUCUAACUCAAUCAUUCUCUCCAAGCCUUAAUAGUUUCUUUUGUAGUCUUGAAUUUUUUUUUUUUUUUUAGUCUCCUGUACAUACAAGUGAGGUUGGGGCAACUUACAUAAAUUUUGUUUCUUUUUUCUAUUGGGAAUCUUUAGAAGGAAACUCUUUAAAAUUUGUGGUGCUCUCCUUUGGUCUGGCUGUCAAGAUUUGAGGGUUUUCUUUUCAAUGCAAUCCUUUGAUUAUUGGCGUUUCUUUAAACCAAUGACACUGAAAAAAAAACCUUGAUCUUAGUGAUUAAUUUUUGUACUAAUGAUUUUAACAUUGAAAAUUUCAUGGGUUUCAGUUUUAAGAAGUAUUACACUCUUUUGGACGUAGCUACUAACUAAACAUAAAGCAAAAACCAUAUACCAGCAAAUAAGUAGGUGGGCUUCAUGCAAAACAUUCAAAUUGUCCAUUCAGAGGCGUUAAUUGUCGUCUAUCUUAACAGCAAAAGCUAAUUGAAUGGACAGUAUGAAGCACUUAAAGUUCAAUGUGCUAUUUGACCUGAAAAAUAUAUAUUUCAGUGAAUGAAAUAAGAAUCUUGAAAACUCUCCUGUGUUCCUUACCCUAGUCAUAAUUGAGGAAAAGUUAAAAGCCCAAAUUGGAUGAUCGCUUUCUAGGGUGCUUUUAGAGAAUAUAAUUGUAAUGCACUUUUCAAUGAAUAUAUACGUGACAUGGAGUGAUAAUUGGGUAACGUGUUUAAAAAUUUUCAAAAACAUACUAGCAAUUUUUUUUGGGGGGGGGGGCUGUUCUCGGACUGAGUAUUUCACUUGACUUCAAAUUCUGAUGUUACAUAAUUCAUGUUUUUUGACAUUCGUUCUCUUACGUUUGUGCAUAGAUUUAGAUUUUUUUUAAUGGUGAAAAAAAUGUUGGAAGUCCUGAACUUAAAUAACAGUAACUUUUGCUCAUUCUAAUUAAUUAGCUUUUUAUAAAAUUCACAGCUGACAACUGCCUUUCUUGUAACAGUAAAACUCACAAUUGCAUGUAUAAUCAUUUUCAAUCACCCGAUUACCUUCAUCAAUCCAUUAUUAGGUCUUCGAAACAUGCCAAUCCCAAAAGGACACCUCUUAAAGUGUAAACCAAUGUCCUUGGCUAAUGCAUCACAUAUAAAGUGAAUUUUAAUUUUAUGCACCGAGUACACCCAAUAAUGUCAUGGGCUGAAGCCUCAUAUAAUUUAUCUCACCAGAAUAUAGUAGGGAGUUUGUUAGGCGGAGAAUUUCGACAUAGAAAACUUUGUUUUUUUUUUUUUUGAGGGAUCCACAUAGAAAACUUACUAACCUUUUUCCUUGUCGUGUAUCCAUUUUACACGGUUUAUAGGGCUAUAUACCCCAUAUUCCGAACUCUAUGGCAGACAUGACAGUAGCUCAAAUUCAACGAGCAAUGGGAGAUGCCAGGAACGAUAACCAUGAAGCCAUCAAAAUGGCAAUUGUACAAGUCUUGACAUGUAGAAAAAAAAAAUCAUUAUCCACUUAGAAUUUUCCCUGUACUUUCAGCCAAUCUCCAACCACAAAUCUGCCCAAACUACCAAACAAAUUACUCAGUUGUUUUUACUUGAAGUGGCAGAGCCAUCUCAUUACGAGAGUAACAACUCAUAUGGGUUGGCCUACUCUCAGAACUCUUCACAUGUGAAACAGGAGGUGCACAGGAAAAAAGGGUACAAAAGGACCGUUGUCAUUAACGGACAAUUUUGUCUCCCAGCUAGAUAUAUAAUGUCCCAUUUCCAUUUAUCAUGUUCUUGAACCAGAGAAAUCAUCAAGUCUCAAAUAAACACAUAUAGAGUAGUAUUCAUUCUUACUGCUAUAUUUUUUUUUAUUUAACUUUCAUCUUGUACUUGUUUAUUUUAAUUAUGGUACAAGGAGCAAUUUGAAUAAGCAUUGUAUGACUAGUUAGAUUGAAGCUAUGAUAUGAGAAACUUGAAUAUGGGUUUUGUAAACUACUGUACUGUUGGGGAGAAAACCCUGAGAACCAAAUAAAGAGGUCCAAUAUAUGAAUGCUCAUAUUACACCCAAGUUGCUUCCCUAGUCCACCGCAAUACUCAAGACUAAUUCAACUAUUUGGAGCUAAAUCGUGGACCCUAUUUUCUUCAACACGUUAAUAGAAUCCCCGUCAAACCCCUAGUUCCAAGAUAUAUACACCAACUAGACUUAACAUAUUACUGGCUGCAUGGCCCAACAUAAGACGAUAACAAUCUAUCCGUCCGACAAAAAGAUAGCAAUUUACUGAUCUAUUAUUGAGAAGAAACAACUUGCAAAUAUGUAGCCUAGACUCAAACUCGAAACCUUUUUAUAAAGUGUAAAAUGAAAGAUCUCAAAUUUAGAAUCUCUCACUUACACUCUCUUCUUCUUCUGUACUAUUCAAUCUAUCCCUUUUCCAUAACUCGAAAACUUUGAUACCAUUGGUUGAGAAAAAAAAAAAAAAAUCAAAGAGAGCCCAUCAUAGAGGCAUAAAAUAUUUGGGAGCCUAAUGCCGAUGCAAAAGGUUAAAUUGAUAGGUCUUAAACCCUUAUCUAUAUAUUAAAAACUCUUUUUUUUUCUCUAAAAAUAAGGUAGGAUAACUAAUUUUACUCAUGAACCUAAAAAUUGUUCAAUUUGAUGGACCGGGAAAUGAACUUGCCCAGUUAACUUAGUCUAAUGUCUAGUUGACUCAUGAGACGUGUCCAGUUUCAUUACUUUGGAACUCCAACAUAAACUUACCAUGAUCACUUCAGAAGAAAAUAUUAUAUAUGAAUUUCCUCCAAUAGCCACUUUCCUCCUUAAUUCAAACAUAGACUUCCUUCCUUUAGCUAAUACACCACUCUCUAUAAUUCAGACCCCAUUCCAGCAUCUAGGAGGAAUAUUCCACCAAAAUGUGAACCCCCAAAAAAAAAAAAACAAAUAUGUAAUAGACUCUUAGGUUAAUGUGGUAUGGCUGAUGAAGCCAGUAAUAUAUACAACCACACAAUUGAAGAUAAGAGUUGAUGGUUCGGGAGGCAAUGAUCAUUUUAUGGACGAGAUGCGAGUAAAGUUGCGGGUAAUGUCCGGCAAUUAUAGCAAGACUUUUCAUGUACUGUUGUCCUACUCUAGUUUUGUUCGGUAUGAAAUGGUAAACGAUUUCAUCUCAGGAUUUUUGUCUAAAGAACGUCAACGUCUAAACAGCUGCAAAGCAAUUUACCAAUUUAGCAUACAAUAACCCUUCGCGCAAUUUAGCAUUUAACCUAUUUCCAAAGCACCAUUAAAUCACUAUUAGUUUCCUUCUUUAAUUGAUUUAUGUUGGCAAUCAUUUCUUUAGCUUAUGAUAAGUGAAUAAUUUACGUAAUAAUUGUAUGAUAUUUUAUAUUAUUUUUAGUCACUUUGGUUAUAUUACUGGAAAAAAAUGAAUCAUUUUGGCUAUAAUUGGUGAAAAAUGCUUUUAAGUGGUUAAAUAAGGUUUUUAUCACUUUUUACUUGGAUUUUAUGCAUUUUGACAGUUUUGACACAUUUUCAUAUUUCGGCUAUAACUUGAGCUACAAUGAUCGGAUUGAGAUGAUUCUUAAACCAAUUUGAAGAUAAGAGAUAGAUCUACAACUUUGUUGAAGACAUCUGAAUCCAGUUUGAAGGUUUUCCAGGUCAAAAAGCCGAAUUACAAUAGCUAAUUUCUAUUGGUCGAAGCUGAAACAGAGAAGUGAGCAGUCAAGGAUAUUUUGGUCAUUUCUCAACCUACACAGAUCCAAAUAUGGUGAUUCUUGAUGCAUUGGAAAGAUAACUCAAAGGGCUACAAGUUUUAUGUUUUGGUCAAGAGCUAAAUCAUCUUUUAUCAUCAAGAAAAGUUCAGUUGAAGUUGACGCAAAAUCGGAGCAGAGCUGGAAAUUGAACAAAAGUGUACCAAAAUGUCACUGUAGCAAUCCGGUCGGAACUUAGCCGGAUUUCUGGCCGGAUUGUGGUCAGAGAAGGCUGCUCUUUACGCGGAAAACUUAUUUUCACCUCCAACAAGUCACAUGCAAUGCCAGACAUGUGAGAACUACUUUGCAGCUGUAAAAGGGUGGUGUAGGCCUCAUUUUCUUGAUUUCUUUCAUCUUUAUAUAGCCAAAACUUGCAAGAUUGAAAGAAGAAUAGAGAGACAUACGGGAGAACUUGGAGAGUGCAGAGAUGUAACUCUUACAUCUUUUGAGUGUUAGAUUAGUUUUAAUAUAGAUUAGUAUAGUUCAUCCAUUCUUGUAUAUUGGCUAGACUAGGAUGAAGAUGGAAAUGAAGAAGGAGGAGUUGAAGCUCAAGUGACAUGGGUUAUCUCUUCUCCAACUCUUUAUUUUUUGUACUUGAUUCCAAGUUUAGUUAAUAUGCAAAUUCUGGAUUUUGUGUUUAAUAUGUGUCUCUAAAGUUUAUGCCUUGGGUUUGGUUGAACUUUCUAUAAUUGUUAGUGUUUAUUAUUUGAUUAUUUGAUUGCUAUGCUUUGAGCAAGUUAUUUAGCACUUUGACUCUUUAAAUCAUGAUUAAUUUGGUCCCAUUAAUUGUGAUUAUCUAAGGUGUUGUUUCUGCAAUGAAAAUUAAGAUUUAAUACUACUAGUUCAAGAAGUGCUAAACAUAGGGAGUACACUAACGAAAGUAGAGGUGCACCUAUGUGGUUUUUAGUGAUUCAUUUCAUGUAAUUUCACUAAAGAAAUGAACUUGUAACUAAUUUCAUAACCACGAGAAUAGGUAUGGAUUAGUUAUAAGUAUAAUUGAUUCACUACGAAAGUAAGAUUCAAAUGCAUAAGGAAAUUACACCAUAACUAGCCUAGAUAUAAUACUCAAUGAUCCAAAUAUAGCACUUGCAUGAGUAGUUGGGGAUACCACAAUCUAAGGAGCUUUUAUUUGUUAUUUUGUAUAAUUUCAGUAGGUUAAAUUUGUUAUAAUUCGUUAAUAGUCUAAAUAAUAGAGAAGCUUUAUUAAUACAGGUAAUUGUUCACUCUUUCUCAUGGGAUCGACCCGAUAUAUAUCCUAAACUACUAGUUGACCUAUAUACUUGCAGUGAACGAGUGUAAUUCAGUUUUUAACUUGCGCGUAUAUUAAAAUCCCGUCAGCUUAAGAAGUUCCUUGUUUAAAAUCUUUUCCAUCUCUACAACUGUCCUUGCAGGAAUGUGAUGCAGUGGCAGAAGAUUAUUUCUUUGCAUACCCUGACCAGGUCACCUAAAAUAAAUGUACAGACUGAUUUUUUUGGGGGUUACAAAUUUGUAUAUUAUUUGGUUGAAUGGCUACCCACAUCAAAGUAUUCAGAUAAUAUAAAGUUCAUAAGUUCACAAAAAAUAUCCAAAAGAUUAAGGGAGAAAAAAUAUCCAAAAGAUUAAGGGAGUCAUGGAUUUGAUGAAUGUCUGAUAUGAAUCUUGGGUUGACUUGGUUUAUUAUCAUAUUAAAUUUCACUUUUAGACACUUUCUGCUCUUAAGACCUUCAAAUUUGUUCCAUUUAAAUUCAAUCGAUAAUAUUAUUAACAAGACUAACAGAAUAGGGAUACAGUGCAAAUCAAUAACAAAUUGAUGAAUAAGGUUAGAAAGAGUAAGGGGAUUGUAAUUGGAACAAAAUUAUGCAUUCAUACGUACACAAAGCAUAAAACAUGAUAAUUAUUCAUUGCUGUAAAAAGUGAAAGCGGUGGUAGUUUAACUUAGUAAUUUAACAUUAAACAAGAAAAAGAAGUACAACUUCUGAACAAGUCUUUGGUACAUCACGUUUUGCAGUUACUCAGACACUCAACAACAACUCAACAGUAAAAACAGCAAAAUGUAAAUAGUUAUUAAGCAGGUAGACCCUGCAAGACUCUUCAUUUGAUGAAAAUUCUCCAUGUUCAAAGUUGAGCUAAGCGACUUAUGUCAAUUGGAUAUGCAUCU